CACGGAUCUUUCGGGAUCAGUGGCGGACGGGUGAGUAACGCGUAGGGAUCUAUCCAUGGGUGGGGGACAACUCCGGGAAACUGGAGCUAAUACCGCAUGAUACCUGAGGGUCAAAGGCGCAAGUCGCCUGUGGAGGAACCUGCGUUCGAUUAGCUAGUUGGUGGGGUAAAGGCCUACCAAGGCGAUGAUCGAUAGCUGGUUUGAGAGGAUGAUCAGCCACACUGGGACUGAGACACGGCCCAGACUCCUACGGGAGGCAGCAGUGGGGAAUAUUGGACAAUGGGCGAAAGCCUGAUCCAGCAAUGCCGCGUGUGUGAAGAAGGUCUUCGGAUUGUAAAGCACUUUCGACGGGGACGAUGAUGACGGUACCCGUAGAAGAAGCCCCGGCUAACUUCGUGCCAGCAGCCGCGGUAAUACGAAGGGGGCUAGCGUUGCUCGGAAUGACUGGGCGUAAAGGGCGCGUAGGCGGUUUAUGCAGUCAGAUGUGAAAUCCCCGGGCUUAACCUGGGAACUGCAUUUGAGACGCAUAGACUAGAGGUCGAGAGAGGGUUGUGGAAUUCCCAGUGUAGCG
rnacentral:rRNA from 1 species